rnacentral:miRNA from 2 species
UCUCACUACCUUGUCUUUGUUG